UUCAUGUGCAGGAAGCACUUCUACGCCCUCAACGUUAUGAUCAUCUGCGAUGCGGCGAUGCGGAUCCUGGCCAUCGACCCUAUGCGACCGGGGUCAGACCAUGACUCGUUCGUCUGGCAGACGACCUGGCUGCGCCGACGGUUCCUGGCGGGGCGCAUUGCAGAGCCAGGCGAAUACCUGCUUGGUGACAGUGGCUACCCAUUGGAGCCGUGGCUCCUCAUCCCGGUCUCUGGCGAUCCUUCCGAC